UUUAAAAAUAAUAUCAGGAAGUAUUACUUUACUGAGAGGGUAGUGGAUGCAUGGAAUAGCCUUCCAGCUGAAGUGGUAGAGGUUAACACAGUAAAGGAGUUUAAGCAUGCGUGGCAUAGGCAUAAGGCUAUCCUAACUAUAAGAUAAGGCUAGGGACUAAUGAAAGUAUUUAGAAAAUUGGGCAGACUAGAUGGGCCGAAUGGUUCUUAUCUGCCGUCACAUUCUAUGUUUCUAUG